UUGACAAAACUUCAUUUCUAUAAGUCAAGUGACUGAAUAUGUAUCCACUUGUUCUGAGACUCUAUAGGCUGUUCGACUGAUCAAUUUAUCAACUCCCUACCGAUAUCAUUCUGUUUUAAUUUCUGUAGCUGAUCCAUUAAUAUUUGCUUUAUCUAUUUAGGUGUUCCAAUGUUAGGUACAUAUAUAUUUACAAAUGUUAUAUCCUCUUGAUUAAUAAGUCUCUUUAUAUAAAUGAUGUUCUUUGUCUCAUUUUACUUGUCAAUGGUUCAGAUUAGAACAUGUCAACAACAACAAGAAGGAAUACUUGCUGAUGAAAGUUAAAGAAUACAUUGGACUUCAUUCCACAUAAAUGAAUUCUAUAUGUGGUCCUUGUGUGUGGUCAAAAAGGAGGAUCACUUUUACUUUAAGAAAAAUUUCAUGGUCUAUACAACUCAUAGAAAUCUCAAAAAUGGUUCCCUUGCUUUUGGAAUUGCAGGAUUAUAGAAAAGUUAGGUAACUCAUAAGAGUAAACAAACUUGAGGUAUGAGAAAAGGGCACAUGGAAACUGUCUUCAAAUAUGGGCAUGACCAUUCCACAAAGCAGCCAUAUGUUUGUUUCUUGUAGCUUCAAAACAGUGAAAGGACAAAAAAGAGAACAUUCUCAUGUGCAUUUAUUAAUAGAGACAUUAUGGUAAUGCAACAUUUUUAAUGGUCUAUAAUGGAAAGCUGCACAUUUUGUUGUUUGAAAGGUGUGGGAAAAAAAUACCAGUAACAUGGAAACACAAACAUUCUAGCUACAUAGUGGCUUGCCUUUGAGGUUCAUCCAUGAUAGGUUAGUCCAGUAUGAUGGCAUCCUUACACCUAUACACAUCACAUUCUGUGUCCCCUCCUGGAAACACAAGUUACUCAUUCUUCCCUCUAAAUAAACCCACAGAAUUCAGUCAACUAUUUAAAGACUACCCUAUGUCCCCAUCCAUACUGAUAGAUUCCUCCCUUCUUUGAACUUAUGUUGCAUGUAUUACUUGAGUCCUACAAUACCAUCUCUUCACUAUUCCCCUGGAUGAAUCUGACCUCCCAAGCAGAAAAAGGCAGAUCUGCAUCUUCUACUUCUAUGGUAUUUCCAGUAGAGCCCAGUGCAAAUGUGGAAACAGGCUGGUCAAAAAUAGCACAAAUAAUUUGUGUUACAAUCAAUAGGUUACCAGGUACUCCCAGAAACACUAUUUAGUUGAAGUCUUAUUAACAACCUACUAAUAUAAUUGUUGAGAAAAUGGAAGUUGAGUUAUGUAAGUGAUAUAUUUAUGGUCCCAUAGCUAAUGAAUAGGAUGAGUUCUGCUUCUCUGAACCCGAGCUUGGUAUGAUUAGGUCAUCCUGUUAUAUGAUCUCAUAGUACUCUGAACUUCUAUUGCCUCUUCAACUUAAUAAAUAAACCAGCAAUUAUUUGCUUUUACUUUUUCCCCUAAGUCUAUGAACUCCAUAUGGGUAAGAUUCUACCUGGUUCAUCCCAAUAUUUUCUAUAGUCUUUGGCAUGGAUAGGCACAAACUAAAUAUUUGUGGAAGAAAGAGAGGAGAGGAGAGGAAAGAGAAGGAAUGGAAGUGUCAAUAAAUGUUAGGCUGGAACCAGAGUCAAAGACUGGAGUUAUAGGUGAGUCUAUAGUUCUGUAUCUUACAUGCAUGUAGGCAAACUCUAUCUGACUCGUUCUGGGGGUUAGGAAUUGUGUGAGAGCAUUAAUGAGAAGAGAAACUAAGAAAGCAUGAGAGCAUGAUUUAAAUAGUAUAAGCAGUUCCAUACACCAUUCCCCUCAAUAAGCCUCAUGUCCAGUAGUGAGUGUGAGGUGGGAGACUUAGCAGAUCUAGUUCUUACCUGUGCUUCAUGGAAUGAACAUCUAACAGGGCUGUAUGUGCUUUCUGUUUAAUGACACACUGCACUUUUUUCUAUAUUACACAGUCCUGAAAAUACUUUAACUAUAUUCAUCCAAAGAAAUAGAUAUCUGUUUUGUCACUGGAGGAAAAACUGGCCCUGUUGAAUUUCUGAGGUAUUAUGUCACCUGCUUAGGAUAUUUUCAAGAAUAGUUGUAACUAAACCUGAUGUUUGCCUCCCAUGCUGACUUGAGAGUCCGUUUUUAAAUAUGAGGCUUGACUGCCUUGUUAGUCUUCAUUGAUGCACUAGUUCUACUGAACUUGCCUUUUAUCUUAAAAUAACAUCUUAAAAUUCUGU
rnacentral:lncRNA from 1 species